ACGAACCAUGCAAACGUUAUUCGGAUUCACUGGGCUUAAAGCGUGCGUAGGCGGUCUUGUUAGUCAGGUGUGAAAGCCCUCAGCCCAACUGAGGAAUUGCGCUUGAUACUGCAUGACUUGAGAAUGAUAGAGGUGGGUGGAACUGAUGGUGGAGCGGUGAAAUGCGUUGAUAUCAUCAGGAACACCAGUGGCGAAGGCGACCCACUGGGUCAUUUCUGACGCUGAGGUACGAAAGCUAGGGUAGCGAACGGGAUUAGAUACCCCGGUAGUCCUAGCCGUAAACGAUGAGCACUAGGUCGAGGGCCUCCACAGGCUCUUGGCCGUAGCGAAAGUGUUAAGUGCUCCGCCUGGGGAGUAUGGUCGCAAGGCUG
rnacentral:rRNA from 1 species